rnacentral:rRNA from 1 species
UACGGAGGGUGCAAGCGUUAUCCGGAUUCACUGGGUUUAAAGGGUGUGUAGGCGGAUAUUUAAGUCAGUGGUGAAAUCUCAAGGCUCAACCUUGAAACUGCCAUUGAUACUAUCAGUCUUGAAUACCGUGGAGGUAAGCGGAAUAUGUCAUGUAGCGGUGAAAUGCUUAGAUAUGACAUAGAACACCAAUUGCGAAGGCAGCUUACUACCCGAAUAUUGACACUGAGGCACGAAAGCGUGGGGAUCAAACAGG